GGACCUAAAGUGAGAAAGAGAUACUAGGAAUGGGAAUGAAGACCAUUCUCGUGGAUGCUCUGUUUGGUAACCAAACUAAUCUAAAGUGUUUUGAGUUUUAAUUUCUAGUGGGUUGCGGCUUUUUGUGAUUAUGCCCAUUAGUAUGAUUCUUAUAGUUAGUCAUUUAAAAUUUAAAUGGGACUGGACAAUAUUUAGCUGGGAGGACACUAGGCUUAAUUUUGACAUUUGUAGCUUGGGCAAUGGUGCAAGUGUUAUUUUUAUAGAUGAAUAAUGUCAUGCAAUCUUGCAGCAUUUGGAUUAGAGAAAGUGUGUACCAGUGCAUGAAGCUUCAGAAUUGCAGGCUCUAGGGAGGAUUGUUACGCAGCCAUUCCUUACAUUCAAAGGAUGCUGUUUCUGUGGACCACUCCUGUGACCUCCAGGUCACAGUAGAGCAAUGUUACCAUCACAUAAAGGCUCAACAUCCUGUAUUCGGUUUACAGAAUAUUGAAAAAAUUAAAUUUUUAUGGGUUUAGAGGGUGAAAGAAAGGGGAGAAGAAAAUAGAAAACAUUAAUUAUCAAUAGACAUUUCAUUCCUAAUGGUUAAAUUCUCAUAUUUGCUUACUUUCCCCUUGCUGAAAUCCGAGAAGGAAAGUAGCGAAUUUUGGGUUUGUGAUACAGCCUUCUUUCAACUUUUACAUAGGCUUUUAUUAUUUUAUCAUUUUAUGGCAUUCAAUGGAAUUUAUCUGUCGCAAAUUCAAUCCCAGUAGGGGUGGUUUCUUUUCUGAUUUUACUUCAAAUACUUUGAUUGUCUGAAUAUCAUUAAUAUUAUCACCAUUCUU
rnacentral:misc_RNA from 1 species